ensembl:snRNA U6 U6 spliceosomal RNA
CUGCUUACUUUGCCAUCACAUGUCCUAAAGCUGGAACUAUAUGGAGAAGAUUAGCAUGGCACCUACACAAGGGCGACAUGCAAAUUCACUGUGUUCCCAUAAAAACGA